ensembl:snRNA U6 U6 spliceosomal RNA
GUGCUUGCUUCAGCAGCACAUAUACUAAAAUUGGAACAAAGCAGAGAAGAUUAGCAUGGCCCCUGUGCAAGGAUGACAUGCAAAUUCGUGAAGCGUUACAUAUUUAA